ACUCCUACGGGAGGCAGCAGUAGGGAAUUUUCCGCAAUGGACGAAAGUCUGACGGAGCAAUGCCGCGUGAGUGAUGAAGGUUUUCGAAUCGUAAAGCUCUGUUGUAAGGGAAGAAUAGCAAGGAUAGGAAAUGCUCCUUGUCUGACGGUACCUUACCAGAAAGCCACGGCUAACUCCGUGCCAGCAGCCGCGGUAAUACGGAGGGUGCGAGCGUUAAUCGGAAUUACUGGGCGUAAAGCGCAUGCAGGUGGUUUGUUAAGUCAGAUGUGAAAGCCCGGGGCUCAACCUCGGAAUUGCAUUUGAAACUGGCAGACUAGAGUACUGUAGAGGGGGUGAGAAUUGAUCAGGUGUAGCGGUGAAAUGCGUAGAGAUCUGAAGGAAUACCGGUGGCGAAGGCGGCCCCCUGGCACAGAUACUGACACUCAGAUGCGAAAGCGUGGGAGCAAACAGGAUUAGAUACCCUGGUAGACUGUCAU
rnacentral:rRNA from 1 species